AGAUGUUAAAAGCAAGAGACAUGGGAGAGCAUCAUUCCUUUGAGAUUUUAUAACUCGAACCAACUUUGGAGUUGUCUGAUUUGGAGAGUCAUUAUUCUUGGUCUUCGCUCUUAGAGGCCACUGAUGAAGAACAGGCGGUGACUGGGAUGAAUCCUGGUCAGAGAGGAGAAUCUUCUUUCCCCUAAACAGCGGUGGUUUUAAAGGAGGACGCUGCCCUGGAUGAUGUAGAAGAUGUCACAUGCUGUGCAGAUGGGGUUUCUUCAUGAUUACAUCAGUUAUGCUAAACAGAUCAUGAAAAUUGACUGUGAUGCAUGAUCUGUAUUCAUGGACUAUGAAACAAACUGUAAGUGUAUAAUUUGUUUAAAAAAAAAAAGUUAAAUGCUUUUUCUGUGUUGUUUAGUAGAAGAGUUUACACUCUGUCAUUCAUACACCUGCUCACAUUCUUUCACACACACACACACACAUGCGUCUUAAAUGUUAUAAUAUCAAAGUUAAUGUUGUGAUUUAUUUGUGUACUGUCAUGCCAGAAUAGUUGGAAAAAAACCGAACUAAUUGUAAAUUUAUUGUAUGUGUUUUCGUAUAUUUUUAUACAAUAUAUACAAUUGAACAAAGUCCAAUUUGAUCUUAAGUUAUAUUCAUCAAAUGUUCAAUGCUUUGUUUAUGAACUCUGUAGCUGUUAAUGCCAUCCUUUUCUGCAUUUCUUCUAACAUGUUACUUUUUGACUUUUCUCUU